AACUGACUUUUCUUCACACUUGUAUCUGGUUGGUCUGUAUUCACAUCAGUAAAAUAACAGAGAAAGAGAAUGACGAGUUAGAGUCAGGGUACUGUUACUUUAAUCCCAUUUGACCAAAGAAAUUAAAAAUAAAAAUUAUCAAAACAUUAGGGCACUAUAAAAACAAUGAAUCUGGUCUGUCUCUUCGGAUUCCUGAUUCUCUUUGCUGGUGCUGAGAAUUCUCCAUAUGAGGCCAAUCAAAUGCAUGAGAAGGAACAGGCAGUCUGGUCCCAUGACAACUUGGCAGGUGGCUGUAAUCACUCCAAGAGGAUCACCAUAAAAUGCUGUGUAUGUUUGAAAACAAUAAAGAAAUAUUUACCCAUGGUAAAUGCAUUCAUCAAUAAGAAAAUAAAAGCAGUAUGCAAUGCCGUUUUUUUGCUCAGAGGACCAUGCAAAAUGUUUGCCUUCGGUAUAAAAAAUAAAGUGAUCAAAGGAUUUUUUCCUGGAGGUCCUGUGCUGUCCUGCAUCAAGUACAAAAUGUGCACAAGAAAGGCUUGAUUAACCCAACAAAAUAGCACUGUAAGCAAAACAACACAAGUCAAUAAAAAAAUCUGCUCUGGGAGCUUUUGGGAAGUAUUAUUUUAGUUAAUAGCUUUUUUCGCAUUAUUUAAGGCAAUACAUUUUUUUAAUUCAAAAAUACUGUGUGGAGAUGACUCAUUCUGUUUCUUUUCUUUUUCAUUUAAAAUACAUCUAAAUUAAAGGGAAAAAGAAGCAAGCAAUAAAGUAACUGAAAUCUAAACACAAAGUUAAUAGUCUAAGAUGGGUUACAAUGAUUAUGUUCUUUUUGCCUCUUAGCCUAUACUCUUCUAUGUAUGUAUAGUGUCACUUAGCAGUUUAAUAGCUGUACAUCAGGUUUGGUGCAUGGUGCAAAAUAUAAAACAUCAGUAACUAAUAAUUCAAUUAUUCUAGAAUUCAGGCAAAACCAAAAAUGUACUACUGAUGGUAUAGAUGAACCAAAAAGGAAGCAGACAGUGUGGAAAACGCUGACAGUGCAGCUCCACAAAAACACAUUUGACACUUUGGUCCACAAUGGUUUUGCAGUCCUUAACAUCAGCACUCCAAAAGACUUGAGUUGACAUUUAUUAACCUCAAUGGUCUACUUAACUGUGAGAGAAGAGAAGGGAGGGGCACAGACUAAACAAUGAGAAAGACAUAAAUAGAGAUGGACAGAUGGACAGAGACAAUGAGACAGAGAUUAUAAAGUAUCACUUCAACUGAAAUUCACACCUUAAAGGGUGUUUAGGGUGUGAUCCAUAAAGAAAGAAGACAUACUUUAGCAAAGCACCAGCCCAGCAGCUCCUUUCUAACUCGAAGAUUCAAAGGAUCAUGUCACCUGUCACUCAUUUUGGACUGCUUAUUGCAUGCUCAGUUCUUGUUGGGUGUAGCAGCAUUCCUAACAAGGCCGACUGGAAAAGCAUGCUGGAAAGAAAUAAGAUGUACUUUCCUGAAGAGGUCAAUAACAGUAACAAAUUAAAUAUAGAGACGUCUGAGAUGAAUGUCAUAUUGUGCUGGGUUUGCAAGAAGACAAUUCAUCAGAUCAAGGGCAUGGUUCUUCGUGAGAUUAAAAAGGAAAUAAAGGCUGUGUGCAAAAAAUUGCAUUUCAUUGAAAAGAGCUGUGAACAACAUGCUUAUCAAUACCAAUACCUGAUACUUCGCCUGCUGUUCCGUGGUAAUAGCAGAGAAAUCUGUCAGCAUUGGAGCAUGUGUCAUUGACUUUUACUGCUCUGUUAUAAUGAACAAGGCAAUUACUUUGUGUCGUCAAUGGAAUUUCUUUUUCUAAAUGAUUUAAUAAAUUAUAGUGUUGCCUGUU